rnacentral:rRNA from 1 species
CAGUAGGCGCGGGAAUACAGAGGGUGCGAGCGUUAAUCGGAUUUACUGGGCGUAAAGCGUGCGUAGGCGGCUUCUUAAGUCGGAUGUGAAAUCCCUGAGCUUAACUUAGGAAUUGCAUUCGAUACUGGGAAGCUAGAGUAUGGGAGAGGAUGGUAGAAUUCCAGGUGUAGCGGUGAAAUGCGUAGAGAUCUGGAGGAAUACCGAUGGCGAAGGCAGCCAUCUGGCCUAAUACUGACGCUGAGGUACGAAAGCAUGGGGAGCAAACAGGAUUAGAUACCCCUGUAGUCCCUGUCUCUUAUAU